CCUACGGGUGGCAGCAGUCGAGAAUCAUUCACAAUGGGGGAAACCCUGAUGGUGCGACGCCGCGUGGGGGAAUGAAGGUCUUCGGAUUGUAAACCCCUGUCAUGUGGGAGCAAAUUAAAAAGAUAGUACCACAAGAGGAAGAGACGGCUAACUCUGUGCCAGCAGCCGCGGUAAUACAGAGGUCUCAAGCGUUGUUCGGAAUCACUGGGCGUAAAGCGUGCGUAGGCUGUUUCGUAAGUCGUGUGUGAAAGGUGCGGGCUCAACCCGCGGACGGCACGUGAUACUGCGAGACUAGAGUAAUGGAGGGGGAACCGGAAUUCUCGGUGUAGCAGUGAAAUGCGUAGAUAUCGAGAGGAACACUCGUGGCGAAGGCGGGUUCCUGGACAUUAACUGACGCUGAGGCACGAAGGUCAGGGGAGCGAAAGGGAUUAGAUACCCUGGUAGUC
rnacentral:rRNA from 1 species